rnacentral:rRNA from 1 species
GAUGAACGCUGGCGGUGUGCCUAACACAUGCAAGUCGAGCGACAACACGAUAAGCUCUUGCUCUUACGGUUAGCGGCGGACGGACGAGUAAGAAGUGGAUCAGAAUCUUCUAUUUCUGGGAUAAUUACGGAAAAAAGCUGCCAAUAAUGCCUCAUAUAUCGUACCGGUUGGAUCAGUAGAUCUACACGGCUUUCGCGUUACUAUUAGCCGAUUCCGCGUCGGAUUAGCUAGUUGGUAAGGUAACGGCUUACCAAGGCGACGAUGCGUAGCUGACAUGAGAGGAUGAUCGGCCACACUGGAACUGAGACACGGUCCAGACUCCUACGGGAGGCAGCAGUAGGGAAUCUUCCGCAAUGGGCGAAAGCUUGACGCAGCAACACCGCGUGAGUGAUGAAGGUCUUCGGAUCGUAAAGCUCUUUUGUUGGGAAAGAACAGAAGCAGGUGAAUCUAUGGACGUCUUGACGGUACCUAAACAAUAAGCCACGGCUAACUUCGUG